CCUUACUCACCUCAUAAUAGUGGGAUAUUACUUCACUAUUGAUUCAUACGCGUGUAUAAUUAUUCCUAGUUGUCGGUCACAUACUUCGUUUGGCACGCCUUCACGACAAACUUUCCUAGCAACAAUUUAAACUCGGUAUACUUAAUCACACAUUUAUAUGGGUAGCAACUUAAUUAAAAAUUCUCUAAGUAACUUGCAUAUUUUUCAUCCAAA
rnacentral:lncRNA from 1 species